UACGGGGGGUGCAAGCGUUAUUCGGAAUUAUUGGGCGUAAAGGGCGCGUAGGCGGUCUUGUCGGUCAGAUGUGAAAGCCCGGGGCUCAACCCUGGAAGUGCAUUUGAAACAGCAAGACUUGAGUACGGGAGAGGAGAGCGGAAUUCCUGGUGUAGAGGUGAAAUUCGUAGAUAUCAGGAGGAACACCGAUGGCGAAGGCAGCUCUCUGGACCGAUACUGACGCUGAGGCGCGAAGGCGUGGGUAGCGAACAGG
rnacentral:rRNA from 1 species